UCUUGCUUAAAUUUUUGCUCCUUAAUUUGUAAAAUAUAUGCGAGUAUUGGCUAAAAUAUAAAUUCUUAAAUAAUUUAAAAUUCUUUAGGGUUUAUGUAAGUUAUAAAAUUUUGAAUUAAACAUUAUAACAUUUAAAUUGCAGUAUUAAAUUUUCGUUGAUAUGUAUUAGUGAAAACUAGAACGAGUUAUAUUAUAAAAGUCCGGCUAAUAUUUGUGCCAGCAGCUGCGGUUAUACAAGGGGGCUAAGUAAAAAUUUAUCAGAUGGUAGUUAGUUAUUAAAGUAGAAUAAAUGUCAUAAUACCUGGGUUAUUAAUAAGUGAAAUUUGUAUAAUUAUAUUAUUUUACUAGGUUUAAAUGAAAUAAAAAUUUGUUCUUGGUCGAAGCUAUUAAAUCUCGGGGAUAAACCAGGAUUAGAUACCCUGUUAUACCGAGCAAAAACAAGUAAAUCUGGAGUAAUAAAAAUAAAUCAAUUUUAAAUUCAAAGAAUUUGGCGGUGUCUUAGUCUUGUUAGAGGAACCUGUUUUAUAAACGAUAAACCACGUAGUAUCUUUCUUGUUUUUGUUAUAGCUAGUAUACCAUCAUUAUUAGACAAUUUUACUUAAAUAAAAAUUAUUAAAAUUAAUAUUAUUAAAUAUAUUAGAUCACGGUGCUGCUAAUAAACAAGUUUUAAUGGGUUACAAUAAAUUUAAUUUAUUUACGAAUUUAUCAAUGAAUGUUGAUAAUAAAGGUGGAUUUAAUAGUAAUAUAGAUUUAAUAUGUCUAUCUGAGAUUAGCUCUAUGAUGUGUACAUAUUGCCCGUCGCUUUCAUUUAUAAAUGAGAUAAGUCGUAACAUAGUAGGUGUAUUGGAAAAUGUACCUAGAAA
rnacentral:ncRNA from 1 species